UUCCUAUGUGCUGGCCUCUAAUACCAGAAUAACUACAUACUUGUUUAAGUGCAGUGGCUUUUGCUGACGGGCUCGAAAGGAUUCCAGUCAACUAAUCUUACUCAGAAGCUACUGUCUCUAAUUGGAAGAUGCUGAUCAGUUAUAAUAUGCAGAUGAUAACUGAGUCAUGCCAAUAGUCAGAUCAAGAGGUUUAAACCACAAAUAGAAAUGUAAAAGAUACAAAGAAAUUGAAGGAUCUGAAGUCUACUACCCAGGGCAUGCUAACACAGCUGUUGGAAUACACGGGAGGCUAUAAUAAAAUUUGUUUACAGAAUGAAAAUGUCAGUGAAAUCUUGCUGGCUCUUACAGUGAUUAAUCUGGCAAAUAACUCUGACUUCAUACUAAGCACAUUUUACCUGUGCAAUCUAUACUAUUGCCAGGGUUUGUCCACUUGCUGUAGUCGUGUUCUUAUUUUUUUUCUGUGGAAGAUCCUUCUCUAUUUCAUUUCUACCACUAGUAGGAGGGAGGCAUGAAGACACCUUUCUGAGACUUCCCACCCUCAGAGCAUGUUCCAGGGUGUCUGGGGUACAGCCAUGAGUGAAGGCAAUGCAUGGGAGGGAGAGUUGCUGGCUUUGAUACGGCUUAGACAUACAGAAGGAACACUGAAUCUAGAGAGCAGCUCUCUAGUGUCAGUGACUAGGUCUAGCUAUAGGUCUUAAUCAGCUGUUGUAGGUCACAGAUAACUGCUAAUGGUCAGUCACAUGAUGCUCUUUAGCAAAAGAGCAAGAAAGAAGUGCUAGAUACUAAAAUGAAAGCAAAAAUCCUGGAAUAAACAAAAUCCAAAUAUAAGCUGGUUAAGCGUAGGAGCAGCUGAGCUGCUGGGCCAGCUGGUAAUUAGAGGGGGGAGGCUGGAACAAUAAACUGAUGUGUCCCACGUACUUGUGGGUCCCUGUGCAAGCAGUAAGGAGCAAGAGGCUAGAACAUGAAAAAUGCACCGUUUACUCUUAACAAUGCAUAUUUUCUAACCUGACUAAACAUUACAGAAAUCAAUACAUUUAAAAAUGAAAUAUCUAUUCUCUGUGCUUUACCUACUGAUAUUCUAAGAAAAGAGGCUGUGUAGAUCUGGAUGACACUUCUGAUUCUUUAAUGUCAUGCAGAAAAGCCAAGGACCUGAUAUGGAAACCAUUCUCCUGAAACUGAGGGAAUAAAUGGCUUUUAGAGUUAAUUGCACAGUUGCUUUGGAUGUUGUUACUGUCUGUCAACCUUUGGCAUCAUUGCAAUAGAGAUGGCUUGCUAGGUGCUAUAUAAAUAGCAAGCAGAAGCCUCAUCUUCAGGAGUUAUUUCUUGAGAGAUCUGCUACUAAUUUGCUUGAUUCACAAACUGUGUUUUUUCUUGGUUUGUUUUCUUGUACUCUCA
ensembl:lncRNA